rnacentral:tRNA from 2 species
GGCCUUGUAGUCAAUAAUGAUAUUAGACUGCAAUUCUAAAGGAGUAAAAUUUUACUAAGGCUU